CUACAUGCAAGUCGAACGCACAGCGAAAGGUGCUUGCACCUUUCAAGUGAGUGGCGAACGGGUGAGUAACACGUGGACAACCUGCCUCAAGGCUGGGGAUAACAUUUGGAAACAGAUGCUAAUACCGAAUGAAACUUAGUGUCGCAUGAUACGAAGUUAAAAGGCGCUUUGGCGUCACCUAGAGAUGGAUCCGCGGUGCAUUAGUUAGUUGGUGGGGUAAAGGCCUACCAAGACAAUGAUGCAUAGCCGAGUUGAGAGACUGAUCGGCCACAUUGGGACUGAGACACGGCCCAAACUCCUACGGGAGGCUGCAGUAGGGAAUCUUCCACAAUGGGCGAAAGCCUGAUGGAGCAACGCCGCGUGUGUGAUGAAGGCUUUCGGGUCGUAAAGCACUGUUGUAUGGGAAGAACAGCUAGAAUAGGGAAUGAUUUUAGUUUGACGGUACCAUACCAGAAAGGGACGGCUAAAUACGUGCCAGCAGCCGCGGUAAUACGUAUGUCCCGAGCGUUAUCCGGAUUUAUUGGGCGUAAAGCGAGCGCAGACGGUUGAUUAAGUCUGAUGUGAAAGCCCGGAGCUCAACUCCGGAAUGGCAUUGGAAACUGGUUAACUUGAGUGCAGUAGAGGUAAGUGGAACUCCAUGUGUAGCGGUGGAAUGCGUAGAUAUAUGGAAGAACACCAGUGGCGAAGGCGGCUUACUGGACUGUAACUGACGUUGAGGCUCGAAAGUGUGGGUAGCAAACAGGAUUAGAUACCCUGGUAGUCCACACCGUAAACGAUGAACACUAGGUGUUAGGAGGUUUCCGCCUCUUAGUGCCGAAGCUAACGCAUUAAGUGUUCCGCCUGGGGAGUACGACCGCAAGGUUGAAACUCAAGGGAAUUGACGGGGACCCGCACAAGCGGUGGAGCAUGUGUUUAAUUUCGAAGCAACGCGAAGAACCUUACCAGUCUUGACAUCCUUUGAAGCUUUUAGAGAUAGAAGUGUUCUCUUCGGAGACAAGUGACAGGUGGUGCAUGGUCGUCGUCAGCUCGUGUCGUGAGAUGUUGGGUUAAGUCCCGCAACGAGCGCAACCCUUAUUGUUAGUUGCCAGCAUUCAGAUGGGCACUCUAGCGAGACUGCCGGUGACAAACCG
rnacentral:rRNA from 1 species